CUCUGAGCGGGACCCUACCCGGCUCGGGCCCGCAGCAGCCCCGACUGUCCGAGAGCCUCUCCGCAAGCAAGGCUCUGCGCCGCCCUCUGAGCCCACCUCCUGGCCACAACGCUGCCUGCGCUUCUCCAGCCCAGGCCGGAAGCCCUAUGCUGCCUCCCGAAGCCGGACUUUCUGGAAGCCCAUCUUCGUAUCCUCACCAGCCCACCCUCCUACGCUGGUCAGAGUGAGAUUGCUAACCUCAAGACCCCAUUCAAUGCCAGCUUUCAACUACUGCUGAAGACCAAUGUAGGUCCUGGAAUAGAAGAACUGCAGAGUCUUGGCUUUUGCUUUUGUGUGUCCACCUCGAGCAGAUCCGGAGCUGGCCGACCCCAGACUGAUUCUCAACAGGUGGCUGGAUGCAGACAAAAGCUACCAUGUCCGCUUGGAGUGACGCCCAGACACGCACAGAGAUGUACAGGAAGCCAAGGAGAGUGGGAUCCACCAGAGUACAGUACAAGUACAGAGUACAGUGCAAGAUGCCCAGU
ensembl:processed_transcript Six3os1 SIX homeobox 3, opposite strand 1